AUGAGACUUUAACGCCUUCAGAAGAUUGAGGAAAUGAGACGCUAACAUCUUUACCACUAAAACAAGGGUUCUGUCUCCUCUGACUGGAACACAGGCUCUGCGACAAAAAACUCUUGGAGUCAUCGUUGCAUCUCUCCCUUAACCUAUGGGUCAACUGGAUUUCACCCCCUGCUACAGGUGGAUGCUUCAGCAGAAUUUUUUCUUAAUAGUUCAUCUCAGCAACUAGAAAGUCUGCCUUAUACAUUGUUAAAGAUGCCUACUCCUUUCAUCUGAUUCCUCUUCUGGUAAUAUACAGGACUGUGCCAUCCAAGGCUGAAACCUGGGCUGCUUAACAUCGAUUCUUUUGCUUCUCUGUACCUGUCAUCAUCUGGAUCCUUCCCACUUCUUUGAUCUUGGCCUACAAUCCUUCAUGCCCCUUUCCCCAAAUUUCCCAUAUGUUCUCCUUCUUCUGUGCCUUUGCCCAUGCUACUUUUUGUUGUCUGGCUACUACUCCUAGGGUAAUGAAGUGACAUGUUUUCUGGAAGCUGCUGGCAUCAGGUACUAGAAAAUUUAUAUUCCUGUAUUUGUUCAUUUCGAUUCUAAAAAUUAUUAUCAAAAAGUCGAUCUAACAUGUAUAAAUAUUAUUUAUAAUGAAAAAACCAGAAAAGUUAAACUCUAAGAGUGUUGUGCAGCUAUGUAAAUGGCAUUUUCAAGUCAUUUUAUGGUUGAGGAAAAAAUGUAUUUUAUAUA